rnacentral:rRNA from 1 species
UACGUAGGGUGCAAGCGUUAAUCGGAAUUACUGGGCGUAAAGCGUGCGCAGGCGGUUUUGUAAGUCUGAUGUGAAAUCCCCGGGCUCAACCUGGGAAUUGCAUUGGAGACUGCAAGGCUGGAAUCUGGCAGAGGGGGGUAGAAUUCCACGUGUAGCAGUGAAAUGCGUAGAGAUGUGGAGGAACACCGAUGGCGAAGGCAGCCCCCUGGGUCAAGAUUGACGCUCAUGCACGAAAGCGUGGGGAGCAAACAGG